GUAAUGAUGAUGGUUUGGAGCACAGCAGAAUCCAUGUCAUCUCUUCCGAGAGAAAACGUACGAGAUACUAACCGGGUCGAAGUGGUCCCUGAGGAGGCCCUUGCUGGGCGACGCCUUCUUGACCUCGGCGACGAGCGCGGGGACGGCGUUGCGGCGGCACGCGGCGCGCAGCGCGCCGACGAAGUCCCUGGGCGGCGGCGCGAGCGCGGCGGACGCCUUCACCUCGCACAGCGGCGUCCUGGCCUUGCGCUGGGCCACCUCCACCUCCUUGUCCCAGAUGAUCUGCUCCAGGAUGUUGCGCGGGACGGCGCGCUCGGCGCCGGUGCCCUCGGACGGGUACCUGGGCCGGCAGCGCCGCCGGAUCUGGAUGCCCUGCGCCGUGGCGAUGGCGUUCAUGGACUUGCCGCUCUCCCACUGGAUCACCUCCGCCGACCGGAACAGCGCGUCGUCCAGCAGCCUGCUGUACACGACCGCCGAGUCCUUGGUGGCGCUGCUGGUGCUGCUGCACCUGCAGCGGAAGCCUCGCCCGGUGGUGCGGGG
rnacentral:misc_RNA from 1 species